rnacentral:rRNA from 1 species
CCGGCACGGGUGAGUAACACGUAUCCAACCUGCCGUCUACUCUUGGCCAGCCUUCUGAAAGGAAGAUUAAUCCAGGAUGGCAUCAUGAGUUCACAUGUCCGCAUGAUUAAAGGUAUUUUCCGGUAGACGAUGGGGAUGCGUUCCAUUAGACAGUAGGCGGGGUAACGGCCCACCUAGUCAACGAUGGAUAGGGGUUCUGAGAGGAAGGUCCCCCACAUUGGAACUGAGACACGGUCCAA